rnacentral:sRNA from 1 species
UUGCUAAACAGCGGCGCAGUAUCCUAGUCAGUUUCAACCAUUUACCAGGAAGGGCCUAAAAAUCCUUUGAAGGGCAUAUCGAUGAAGUCCCUGGUGUUUGCCUCUUACGCCCAGUUUGGGGUGGAUGCUGGGGGUUAAGGUUUGGGGGCGACUUGCAAUGGCAUGCAAAUUCGACCCUCUUACCGUGGAGACCUGCUCUUGUGAUGAGCCAAGGUAAAACCUGUAUCAGGCUUGUGACUCGUUACGAAGCAGGGUUAAACCUGCAAUGUGGUGCAACUGGGGCGGUUUCGCUCCAAAGUCGCUAUGUGCAGAGUAGCCUGCCUUGAGUGGGCGUGGUGAAUGCGGGAACUACGCAUGCGUUCCCCGGCCAGGGAAGUGCAUCGCGAUCGCCUGCUGAAACCACGGCUGCAAAAGAGGCUAAGAAAUGGGUUGACUGCUGUGGAAAACACCUAGGCUGUCGAUUCCCGGACAUCAGAAGGAUUGCAGUGCGGACUAAGUGGCAGUCGGGUCGCAGUGUCGGCAACGCGCUGACGUGGAGCUGAAAGGGAAACCGCCAAGCGGAAACGCGCGGCGCUCCAUGGGGAAAGCCUACCCGUACCUAAGCCGUAAGAUUUACUUCUGGUGCUGCCGUCCUGUUUAG